UAUGGUAUUUAGCUAAAUAGCCUCAUGCAUAUGGACAUAGCGACCACACAUCUUCUUUCCUGAGCAGCCUAAAAAAUCCUCUUACCCGUUCACACUUCACACAGUAGCAUGUUGCUCUUGCCCGAUCCCCUUUUUCUCUUCCUUAUUCUCUUCGCUCACUACAAAAUUACUGCCGCCGGAUUGCUCCCAUCAACUCGCUCCCUUGAUUCGGUGCCUUGAGCUUGAUUGUCCUCACCUGCAGGCUGCAGCCACCCCUUGCAGCUCGAUUCGCUGGUGCGGCCAGUGGCUGGUUUGUCUCCUCAUACGCCUCCUCGGUCUCUUAGGCUGGUAAACGACGAUGAGGGGCUAGCAUGGCCCAAGGUGGAGCUACCGCAAGGGAGGAAGCUAGAUCAUCGAUCUGCACGGUGUUUUUGUUGUCGGCGUCCGUGCAGGUGAUGUAGUCUUUACUCUUUAGUAUGAGGAUGCUGGAGACAUUUUCUGCCCCUGGAGCGCCAGCCAGACAAAUCCUCACAUCGGCAACAUUUCUAAGUUCGAUCUGCUGGUCCACUUUUCCCUUUUCCUGACUCUGUCAUAUAUUUAUUUUUUUCGUAACCGUUUCUUAUGUUUGUGCGAUUGAACCAAUAUAACAUUUGAGCUUGAUUAAAUAGAAAUGAAUGAAAACAUAUUUUAAAGUCCUAGAAAAAAAUGCAUGUAGAUGUGCUUCAUAAGAUUAAGUUAAGUGACUUUUUUCAUUUUUUAUGUACUAUCAACAUAUUUUAGUUCAACAUGUUAGUCUUUACAACUGAAAAAAGCAUGUUAGUCUUUUAUGGGGACCAUGCAAAUAUAAAAGAAAUAUCAUAAUCAGGUGUUAGGAUGAACAUUUAACAUGCAAGGAAAAAAUCAGGACAGUCUCAAACUUAAAGGAGGAUUUUUAUUUGUUUAAUUCUGAAUUAUUUGGCUAUUCGAAGCUUGGGAGCAAAAGGUAUGCACUUGAUAUUGUGUUACAAUACUUUUAUGGAAGAUAAUAUAGAGAAAGCAGUAAACAUACACGUAGAAAGGUUCCACUACCAAAACAGCACCUGCAUCAUAUUUUGCAUACACCUAAUAAGAUGGAGAAAAUGGAGAACUUCUUCUUAUCAAGCCUAACUUUUUUAUCUGCACUAUGACUUGUAACAAAAAACUAUUAGAUUUUAUAAAACAUAAAUUAGAUUAGUUUUAAUCUCAUGUUGUGAUAGUCACCUUCUUCGAAUCUGUCCCUUGCCAUUCUGAAUAUUUUUGCAAGUAUAUUAUCUCUAUCCAGCAUAUUUUAAGUUCCUCGACGAUGUGAGCAUCUAUUGACUCCAUUUUAUCUUCAAACUUCGACGCCUUAAUCCUGUUUCUUACCUCAUUUUCAGUGUCACAGAUGUACAACUGUGCCCAGCGUGGUCUGUCUUUACCUUCAGCGAUUCUGCAAGGUAAGUCGGUAGCUCUCUGAAUGGUGGCAAAUCAACCUUUCCCUGUUGGCAUCAUAGUCCGAAAGAUGGCAUGCUUUUCACUCUACCUGAAGUUCUUUCUUCGUACCAGAAAAUUGCGCCACAUCGGUCACACUUGGAGCUUGGUUUUCCUAUUAGUCCUUUCCGAUAUCCUGUCCAAUUUUCCGAUUUAGCAUCAAUUUAAUGUUAGCAUUGUCUCGUAUUGUUAAUACUUCAAAAAAAUCAAUAGAACUUAUGUAUCUCGUGUUUA